ACUGUUUUGCCUCAGAUCACCAGGCAUUAGUUGCUCAACCUAGAUCCUGUGCAUGCACAGCUCACAAUAGGCGUCAAGCUCCCGUGCGAUUCUAAUACCACCACGGAUCUAACAAGAGGUGGGACUCAGGUGGAAAUGCUCUCUCAUUUGCUAUUCACCUCGUGCCGUGUGGCCAGGAUCCUAACAUGGCCUUGCAGGUUCCUUGAGGUUCUGAGGAAAAUGAUCCACAGUCUCCUGAGUCCUCCCUCCCAGCUGAGUUGGAGGCUGCCCCUGGCAGUAACCCUGGACUGGAAUGACUGGCUCAGGGGUCCCCAGCUGGCAUCUCCGACUGUCCCUCCAGAGCACCGGCUCCCUGGGCCUUCUGUUUCUCCUGUGCCAUCGCUGCCAUCGUGCCUCGGUGAUCAGGCAUCCCUGUAGCCCUCAUGCUGGGCUGCCUCCAGGCUCUGGCCAUCUCUCCUCUGGAUCGGGGAAAGAUGGAGCCUGUCCUGGGGGUGUUUUUUCUCUUAGGUCCUCUGGUUUACAAGGCUAGGUUUUUGGAGAUGGUAAAAUUAAAGGUCACUGUAAAUAUGGCCCAUCUGCUUUUUGGGUUCACCAGGCCAGACCCAGUGCUUCAGGUCUCCACCAUGAACUGUCGGACCGUGAGCUUCCUCAGAGAAAGCCUCUCCAAGGAGCACCCCCUGCUCUCCAAUGGGAAGACACGUUUUGGCGGCCAAGUUCCCAAGGAACACAGAAUUGAAGCACAAUGUUAUCAGCAUGGAAGAGGGGGGCCCUGGGUCCAUCAAAGGCAAAGAGAAAUGUCUGCAUGGACACUGGGCAUUAUCAACAACUCCCGCCACCCUCCCGCCUCCCCGCAGUCACCCAUCAUCCUCUGUGGAAAGGAGCUUUGUCUGGUCUGGCUGAUCUGCCUUAGCCCAGCCUGUGUCAACCCCCCUUGCCCAUCUUCUUUGGGGUAGCUUGGAGGUGGUGGGGAAGAAGUGGUGACACUUUUAUCCAGGUGUGGUAUGAGCUUAGACUUCGGUAGGUGAAUUUUUCUAAUCAUUCCUCCUUUCCUCCUCCACCCCGGCAUACACCAACUCCUUCAAAAUAAACCAAAUCGGGAAGAACAGCUCCCCAAAUAGAUCUUACCUGCUUGAAAACCCCUCACGUGUUUUCUAUCAUGGAAAACCCUGUUUUCUCCUCCCCCAGCACAGCCUGUAUUAAAAACCUGCUCUUGAUAACAAGCACUUUCAGGUUAGUCUACAGCCUAAGGUAGAUCACCUCUACGAGAGUAAAGAGAAGCAGACCAGCAUGGUGCAUUUAACCAAAACUUUGUAAAGUCUCCUUGUGUGGUCCAGUUAAACGUAUGUAUGAAACACUUAGAUUGCCAGCCUGGGCAACAUAGAGACUGUAUCUCUACAAAAAUGUAAAAACUAGCCGGACGUGAUGACUGGCACCUGUAGACCCAGAUACUCAGGAGGCUGAAGCAGAAGGGUCUCUUGAACCCAAGAGUUUGAGACUGCAUUGAGUGGUGGUGGCACCACUGCACUCCAGCCUGGGCAGGAGAGCAAGACCCUGGAAAAGAAAAGAGAAGAAGAAAGGAAAAGAAAAGGAAGAGAAAGAAAGAGAAACGCAUAGAUUGUGACACCUUACAUUUCAGCAACCAGGACGGGCUUGAUGUCAAAACACAAGAAAUAGCACAGAAUCUAUUUCUGCCCCAAAGGACCUUUUCCAAGUUGUACUCAGCCUGGAAAUUUUUGCCAACAUAAAUCUAAGGACAAGACAUUUCUUCCCAGACAUACAACACAGGUGAGACAGAUGGGAUGGUUGGCGUGGGGAAGCUCACAGAGCCUGGGGCUGGUUCGGGGUGCUGGGCUGCCAGCUUUGCAGAACUCACACCUCAGCAUGUACAUCUGCACAGACUUAUUCAGUAGAAUGUAAUGACCAGGGCAGCUAAUACUCCUGAACAUAGGGCCUGGAAGUUAUGACUUUGAGCAACUGUAGCCAGAGAGGAGAAGCCUCUUCUGUAUUGGAUUUGGAGCCUUAGGGGGGGGUGAGCCAUCUAGGACAGACUGGAGGGCGACAAGGAAGUGUGGGCACAGACAUCAGUGGAAUAAAAGAAGACACUGACAAUGGGAAGGGAUGAAACAUUCCCCACAGCCCCACCUGGCUAAGGUUUCACCAGCCAUUAGCGUGGGGGGCCUGGGAGUGAGUAGAGAAGACACAUUAUAUUUAUUUGUCUUUGUACAUUCAUGUGGAAGUUGAUGAUUUGAUGAGAGGUAUAUAGUUUAUUCUGUAGUGUAGGAUUGGCCACAGGAGUAUAAUUUAAUUAGGGCUGCUCUGCAUAAUGAUUUGCUUAAUUUGAAGUCCAUUCCUCCCCCUGGCAGGGAAGUCUCUAGGCCUCUGACGGUAAACGGGAAACUAGGUCAUCUAUGGAUGAUAUAGAAUGUAGACUAGCCAGGUGCAAGGAUGCACACCUGUAUCCCAGCUACUUGGGAGACUGAGGCAGAAGGAUCACUUGAGCCCAGGAGUUCAAGGUCAGCCUGGGCACAUGGUGAAACUCUCUAUAAAGAAAAGAAUGUAGAGCACAUGAGCAAUGAAUGCCUACCUAGGGCUUCAGCCGGGCGUAGCUCCAGAGCCGAUAUGCUGUCAGGCAUGCCAGACCUGUCGCUCUCCUUGUGGCCUCUGCAUGGCUGCAUGCGAACAGGAGAGCUGGAUUUCAAACUAUGAAUCAUUUUCAGCGUCAAGCCUAGGGUGCCAGUAAUUUCACUUCUGGGCUUAUUUCCCCACAGCAGAGCAGGACAGCUUGUUGUGGAGCAGGAGAUCCUUGCUCCACCCACAGAGGAAUAUCCUAGAGACAGCUGACAGUCUGCGUUUGGGAAUGCUGACAGCGCUGGCCCAAAGGAAUGCUUAUCUGUAUAUGCACUCAACAAAGAAGAGUAGAAGACGCUCAGUGAAACUCCAGGGGUACUAGGAAGGGGGUGAGGCUUAUGUAAAAUAGAAAACCGCAGCUGAACAAAUAGCAGUAAUAAGAAAAAGGUGGGUGGUGGGGAAAGAAAUGGAAUAUUUUUGGUUACAGCUGCAUUUUCAUGUUAACAGUUUGUGAAAUGUGGUUCAGAAAAGGGAAUUGGACAUGAUUUAAAAGGAAACUAGUCAAUAGAAAAAUAGCGUGUGGGAGGUUUAUAAAAUAAUUUUUUAAAUUAAUGUAUUUGUUUUUCUGCUGUAACAAAUUACUACAAGCUUAGUGGCUUAAAGCAAGGCUAAUUUGGCCAGGUGUGGUGGCUCAUGCCUGUAAUCCUAGCACUUUGGGAGGCCAAAGUGGGUGGCUCACAAAAUCAGAAGAUCAAGAGUAUCCUGGCUUACACAGUGAAACCCUGUCUCUACUAAAAAAAAAAUACAAAAACAUUAGCCGGGUGUGGUGGCACGUACCUGUAGUCCCAGCUACUCAGGAGGCUGAGGCAGGAGAAUCACUUGAACCCAGGAGGAGGAGGUAGCAGUAAGCCGAGAUCAUGCCACUGCAUUCCAGGCUGGGCAACAGAGUGAGACUUCAUCUCAAAGAAAAAAAACACAAAAAACAAAAACCAAUGCUAAUUUAUCCUACACUUUUGGAGGUCAGAAGUCCAAAAUUGUUCUUAAAAUCAAGGUGUCAGUAGGGAUGUGUAUUAGUCCGUUCUUGCAUUGCUAUAAAUAAACAGCUGAGACUGGAUAAUUAAUUUAUAAAGAAAAGAGGUUUAAUUGGCUCAUGGCUCAGCAGGCUGUACAGGAAGUAUUGCACCAGAAGUAUCUGCUUCUGGGGAGGCCUCAGAAAACUUACAAUCAUGGCAGGAGGUAAAGGGGGAGCAGGCAUCUCCCAUGGUGAAAGUGGGAGCUAGAGAGAGAGGUCAGGGCGGGGGAAUGCCAUACUUUAUAACAACCAGAUCUUGAGAGAAUUCACUCACUAUCCCUAGGACAGCAUAAAGCCAUGAGGGAUCAGCCCCAAUGGCCCAAACACCUCCCACCAGGCCCCACCUCCAACACUGGGGAUGACAAUUCAACAUGAGAUUUGGGUGGGGGCAAAUGUCCAAAUUAUAUCAUACUACCCCAGCCUCUGCCAAAUCUCAUGUCCUUCUCACAUUGCAAAAUAUAAUCGUGCCUUCCCAGCAGUCCCCCAAAGUCUUAAAUCAUUCCAGCAUUAACUCAGAAAUCCCAAGGCCAAGUCCAAAGUCUUAUCUGAAGAUGUGUCCCUUCCACCUAUGAGCCUGUAAAAUCAAAUAAGUUAUUUACUUCCAAUAUAAAAUGGGGGUACAGGUGUUUGAUAAGCAUUCCAAUUCCAAAAGGGAGAAAUUGGCCAAAAGAAAGGGGUUACAGACCCCAUGAAGGUUUGAAACCCAGCAGGGCAGUCAUUAAACCUUAAAGCUCCAAAAUAAUACUUGACUCCAUGCUCCACAUUCAAGGAACACUGGUGCAAGGGGUAGGCUCCCAAGGCCUUGGGCAGCUAGCUCCUAUGGCUUUGCAGGGUUCAAUGCCUAAGGCUUCUUUCAUGGGUUGGAGCAUGCCUGCAGCUUUUCUAGGCACAGAGUGCAAUCUUCUGGUAUAUCUACCAUUCUGGGGUCUGGAGGAUGGUGGCCCCCUUCUCACAGCUCUACUAGUCAGUGGCCCAAUGGGGACUCUGUAUGUGCUGCCUUAGUAGAGGUUCUCUAUAAGGGCUCCACCUCUGUAGCAGGCUUCUGCCUGGACACCCAGAUUUUCUCAUACACUCCCUGAAAUCUAGGUGGAGGACGCCAAGCCUCUUUUACUCUUGCACUCUGCACAGCCACAGGCUUAAUGUCUUGUGGGAGCAGCCAAGGCUUACAGCUUGCACCCUCUGAAAUGGUAGCCUGAGCUGUACUUGGUCCCCUUUGAGCCAUGGCUUGAAGGGGAGCAGCUGGAAUGUGGGAAACAGUGUCCCAAGGCUGGGCAGUGGGGCUCUGGGCCUGAUCCAGAAGCCAUUAUUCCCUCCUAAGGCUCAGUGCCUGUGAUGGGAAGGGCUGCCUCAGAGGUCUCUGGAAUGCGUUUGAGGCCUUUUUCACACUGUCUUGGUUAUCUAUCAGCACCUGGCUCUUUAUUAGAUAUUCAAAUCUUGCGAGCAAAUGGUUGCCCAAUGGCCUGCUUGAAUUCCUCUUCUGAUAAUGCUUUUUCUUUCUCUACCAUAAGGCCAGGUUGCAAAUUUUUCAGACUUUCAUACUCUGCUUUCCUGUUAAUUAUGAAUUCCAAAUUGAAGUCAUUUCCUUGCUUCCACAUCUGGGCAUCUGUUGAAAGCAGACAGGCCGCAUCCUGAGUGCUUCGCUGCUUAGAAACUUCUUCUGCCAGACACGUAAAUCAUCACUUUCAAGUUCAAACUGUCACGGAUCCCAGGACACGAACACAUUGCAGCCGAGCUCUUUGCUAAGGCAUAACAUGCAUGAUCUCUGCUCCAGUUCCUGAUAAGUCCCUCAUUUCUGUGUGAGACUUCACCAGCCUAUCUUUCACUGUCCAUAUUCUAACAGGAUUUGAUCACAACCAUUUGACCAGUUUCUAAGAAAUUUCAAACUUUCCCUCAGCUUCCUGUCUUCUGAGCCCUCCAAACUCCUACAACCUCUGCCCAUUACCCAAUUCCAAAGCCACUUCCACAUUUUUACAUGUUUUUAUAGCAAUGCCCCACUCCUCAGUACCAAUUUUCCGUAUUAGUCUGUUUUUGCAUUGCUAUAAAGAAACACAUAAGACUGGGUAAUUUAUCAAGAAAAGAGGUUUAAUUGGCUCAUGGUUCUGCAGGAUGUACAGGAAGCAUUGUGCCAGCAUCUGCUUCUGGGGAGGCCUCAGGGAGCUUCCAAUCAUGCCAGAAGGCAAAGCGGGAACAGGCAGGAGUGGAAGUGAGAGAGAAAGUGGGGAGAAAGAAGGUGCCACACCUUACAACAACCAGAUCUCUGGAGAACUCUCUUGCUAGGAAAGCACUGAGCUGUGAGGGAUCCGCCUCAUGACCCAAACACCUCCCACCAGGCCCCACCUCCAACAUUGAGGAGUACACCUCACCAUGAGAUUUGGGUGGGGACAAAUAACCAAACCAUAUCAGGCUGUGUCACUUCUGGAGGCGCUAGGGGAGAACCCUUUUUCUGCCUUUUCUAUGUUUCAGAGGCUGCUCACGUUACUUGACUCAUGGCCACUUCCUCCAUCUUCAAAGCCAACAGGGUAACAUCUCCCAAUAAUUAUCUCUCCUUCCAUCAUCAAAUCUCUGACUCCUCUUCCUCCCUCUUACAAGGAUUCUUGUGAUUACAUCAGACACAUCUAGAUAAUUCAGGAUAAUCGCCGAAUCUCAAGAUCCCGAGUUUUGCGGGGUGCAGUGGCUCACACUUGUAAUCCCAGCACUUUGGAAGUCUGAGGCAGGAGGAUCACUUGAGCCCAGGAGUUCAAGACCAGCCUGGGCAACACAGUGAGACCUAGUCAACAGCAACAAAAAAUUAAUAAUAAAAUAAGAGGCCAGCUGUGGUGGCUUAUGCCUAUAAUCCCAGCACUUUGGGAAGCUAAGGCUGGAGAAGAAUUUGAUCCCAGGAGUUCAAGACCUCAAGACCACCGUAGGGAACAUAGUGAGACAUUGUCUCUACAAAAAAUUAAAAUAAAAUAAAAUAAAAUUAGCUGAGUGUCGUGGCUCACACCUGCAGUUCCAGCUACUCAGGUGGCUGGGGUGGGAGAAUUUCUUGAGUCUGGGAGGUAAAUAGAGCUAAUCAUCAUGGCUCACUAGCCACGAUGGCUCCACUGCACUCCAGCUUGGGUGAAAGAGUGAGACCCUGUCUCAAAAAAGAAAAAAAAAAAAGAAAAGGAUCCUUAACCUAAUUAUAUAUGCAAAAUUCCUUUUGUGAUGUAAGGAACAUAUUCUAGGAACAUUUGGAUGGAGGAGGGAGUGAUUUUUGCCACCACAACAUUGUAAAUGAUUAUCUUUUUUUAAAGACCUAAUUUUGGAAUAAUUUUAGAUUUACAGAGUCCAAAGAUUUGUCUUUUUGAACCAUUUUUUCAUCUAUGAUUCCAGUUAUACAAAUGUUUUCAAAUUAAAAAUUAUUUGAAAACCAUCUGUGAAAGUACUUUGAGUUCUUUGGAAGAAAGAUGCUGUUUAGUGCAAGUCGUUUGUGAUACCACUGACCUCCUUAAGAGGAAAACCAUGCAGUUUAUUCCUGGGAGCCAUCAGCCUCUUCUUAUCCUGGGGCUGAUUCCUUAGGAGGCACACCUAAGCCUCACGACCAUCACUGCCCCAUACAAGCAGGCGAAGUUACUUCUCUCUACCUAUUGGGAAACACAUUAUACUCCAGAAAGUCCUUUUCUGUGUCAUUUCAUCCCCACUUUCCUCAGUUGUUACCUUAGGCACUUCUAGGCACUUGCCACCUGUAAGUGACCAAGCAGGUGGCAACUGGGAACCUGAGUCACCUGUGUCCCAGGCCUGUGAACCAGCCAUCUUUAGGGAUGCUUUCCAGAUGCUUAGGGAGCACAGAGCUCUCUUUAGCCAGGUCCUGAGAACCUUCCUCUUCCUUUUGCUACUGGUUGUGGCUCUGAAAUCAGAGCUAGCUCUAUUAGUGAUUUGAGGAUACUUGUUGGCAUAAUGUCUUCCAAACCCAGGUGUGCACUGGAAUCAUCUAUUGUGCUUUCUCAAAAACACACAUCCUGUGAAAUGUUUUAUUGCACAAAAAGGCAAGGAAUUACACAGAGACUGAUAGGGAUAUGUCAAAAGGACACAACCAGCUUGAAAGCUAAAUCUGGGACAACUUGAGCACGAAAAUAAGUAGGGAUAGUAAUGAAUUGUAAAGCAUUGAAUAAAAUAAGAAGGUAUGACGUCACACUUACUACCUAAACAAACAAGUGAAUAAACACGCAAAUGUUCUUGCUAAAUAAAAGUGCAUAUCAGAGAGUCACCUCUUAACAUAGGUCUGGAAUGAGACCUAUUGAGGUAGAGUUUUAGGAGGUGAAUGUUUUUAUUUCUAUUUUCUUCUUUCUUCUUUUUUUUUAGGCAGUGUCUCAUUCUGUCACCCAGUCAGGAGUUCAGUGGCAUAAUCAUGGCUCACUGCAGCCACGACCUCCCAGGCUCAAGAAAUCCUCCUGCCUCCGCCUCCUGAGUAGCUGAGACUAGAGGUGCACACCACUGUGUCUGGCUAAUUUUUUAACUUUUUUGUAGAGACAGGGUCUCGCCAUGUUGCCCAGGCUUGUCUCAAACUCCUGAGCUCAAUCAAGCAAUCCUCCCCACUAGGCCUCCCAAAGUGCUGUGAUGACUGGUGUGAGCCACUGCAUCUGGCCUGGAUUUCUUAAAAAGCCAGUCACUGUGUCCCAGACCUGUGAACCAGCCAUCUUUAGGGAUGCUUUCCGGAGGCUUAGGGAGCAUGUGGAGGGUUCUGGCAAGAUGGCCAAAUAGGAACAGCUCCAGCUUGCAGCUCCCAGUGAGAUCAACACAGAAGGUGGGUAAUUUCUGCAUUUCCAGCUGAGGUAUCUGGCUCAUCUCAAUGGGACUGGUAAGAGAGUGGGUGCAGCCCAUAGAGGGUGAGCUGAAGCAGGGUGGGGCAUUGCCUCACCUGGAAAGCAUAAGGGGUUGGGGGAUUCCCUCUCCUAGUAAAGGAAAGCCUGGAGGGACAUUGCCAUGAGGAGCAGUGCUCUCUAAUCCAGAUGCCAUGCUUUUCCCAUGGUCUUCACAACCCACAGACUAGGAGAUUCCCUUAGGCGCCUACACCACCAGGGCCCUGGGUUUCAAGCCAAAACUGGGUGGCCAUUUGGGCAGACACUGAGCUAGCUGUAGGAGCUUUUUUUCAAUACCCCAGUGGUGUCUGGAAUGCCAGUGAGACAGAAGCGUUCAUUACCCUUGAAAGAAGGCUGAAGCCAGGAAGCCAAGUGGUCUAGCUCAGCAGAUCCCACCCCAUGCCAGCAAGCUAAGAUCCACUGGCUUGAAAAUCUCACUGCCAACACAGCAGUCUGAAGUCAACCUGAGAUGCUUGAGUUUGAUCGGAGGAGGACAUCUACCAUUACUGAGGCUUGAGUAGGUGGUUUUCCCCUCACAGUGUAAAAAAAGCCAGAAGUUCAGACUGGGUGAAGCCCACCUCAGAACCACAAAGUUUCUGUAGCCAGACUGCCUCUCUAGAUUCCUAUUCUCUGGGCAGGCCAUCUCUGAAAGAAAGGCAGCAGCCCCAAUUUGGGGCUUAUGGAUAAAACUCCCAUCUCCCUGAGACAGAACAACUAGGGGAAAGGGCUUCAGCAGACUUAAACAUUCCUGCCUGCUGGCUCUAAAGAGAGCAACAGAUCUCCCUGCACAGUGCUCAAGCUCUACUAAGGGACGGACUGCCUUCUCAAGUGGGUCCCUGACCUCCAUGCCUCCUGACUAGGAGAUGCCUCCCAGCAGAGGUCAACAAAUGCAUCAUACAGGAGAACUCCAGUUGGCAUAUGGCAGGUGACCCUCUGGGAUGGAGCUUCCAGAGAAAAAAACAGGCAGCAAUCUUUGCUGUUCUGCAGCCUCCACUGGUGAUUCCCAGGCAAACAGGGUCUGGAGUGGACCUCCAGAAAACUCCAGCUGACCUGCAGCAGAGGGGCCUGAUUGUUAGAAGGAAAACUAACAAACAGAAAGGAAUAGCAUCAACAUCAACAAGAAGGGCAUCCAAACAGAAACCCCAUAUGAAGGUCACCAACAUCAAAGACCAAAGGUAGACAAAUCCACAAAGAUGAGGAAAAACCAGUGCAAAAAGUUUGAAAAUUCCAAAAGCCAGAACACUUUUUCUACAAAGGAUCACAACACCUCGCCAGCAAGGGAACAAAACUGGAUGGAGAAUGAGUUUGACAAAUUGACAGAAGCAAACUCCUCCAAGCUAGCAUCCUCCAGGGAGCAUGUUCUAACCCAAUGGAAGAAAACUAAGAACCUUGAAAAAAGGUUAGAGGAAUUGCUACCUAGAAUAACCAAUUCAGAGAAGAACAUAAUUGACUUGAUGGCGGGGGAGGUGAAAAACACAGCAUGAGAACUUUGUGAAACAUACACAAGCAUCAAUAGCUGAAUUGAUCAAGUGGAAGAAAGAGAUUGAAAUCAGAGAUUGAAGAUCAACUUAAUGAAAUAAAGCAUGAAGACAAGAUUAGAGAAAAAAAGAAUGAAAAGGAACAAACAAAGCCUUUAAGAAAUAUGGGACUAUGUGAAAAGACCAAACCUUUUUCUUUCUUUCUUUCUUUUUUUUUUUUUUUGGAAAGAAGAAAAGAAAGAAAAAAAGGAGUGAGGGAGAGGAAGAAAGAGGAAAAAGAAGAGGGAGAGAGAAUGGGAAUAUUGUUUUAUUCUAAAAAUGGGUAUUAAUAAUGGCCAAUCAAUAUUUUGUGUAUUUAAAGUGGAGAAUGUACAUUUUGUGUAUUUAAAAUGGAGAGCUCUAUAAAUAUUUAUUAAGUUUACUUGUUCCAGAUCUGAGUUCAAGUCCUGGUUGUCCUCAUCAAUGUUCUGUCUCAUUGAGUAUAAAUCUCUUUAUGGGUCUUACGUAUCUGGGUGUUAGGAUUGUUAGCUCUUAUUGUUGCAUUGAUCCUUUUACCACUAUAUCUUUGUUGCUUUGAAAUAUAUUUUAUCAGAUGCGAGAAUUGCAACUCCUGCUUUUUAUUUAUUUAUUUUUGCUCUCCAUUUGGUUGGUAAGUCUUUCUCAAUCCCUUUGUUUUGAGUUUUUGUGUAUCUUUGGAUGUGAGAUGGGUCUGGAUGCAGCAUACCAUUAGGUUUUGGGUGUAUCUUUUGAUUGGGGGAUUUAGUCAAGACCAAACCUACAUUUGAUUUGUGUACUUGAAAGUGACAAGGAGGAUGAAACCAAGUUGGACAACAAGAUAUUACAAGAUAUUAUCCAGGAGAACUUCCCCAACCUAGCAAGAUAGGCCAACAUUCAAAUUCAGGAAAUACAGAGAACACCACAAAGACACUCCUCGAGAAGAGCAACUCCAAGACACAUAGUUGUCAGAUUCACCAAGGUUGAAAUGAAGGAAAAAAUGUUAAGGGCAGCCAGAGAGAAAGGUUGGGUUACCCACAAAGGGAAGCCCAGCAGACUAACAGUGGAUCUCUCUGCAGAAACCCUACAAGCCAGAAGAGAGUAGGGGCCUAUAUUCAACAUUCUUAAAGAAAAGAAUUUUCAAACCAGAAUUUCAUAUCCAGCCAAACUAAGUUUCAUAAGCACAGGAGAAAUAAAAUCCUUUACAGACAAGCAAAUGCUGAAAGAUUUUGUCGCCACCAGGCCUGCCUUACAAGAACUCCUGAAGGAAGCACUAAAUAUGGAAAGGAAAAUCCAGUACCAGCCACUGCAAAAACACACCAAAUUAUAAAGACCAUGGACACUAUGAAGAAACUGCAUCAACUAACAGGCAAAAUAACCAGCUAGCAUUAUAAUGACAGGGUCAAAUUCACAUAUAACAAUAUUAACCUUAAAUAUAAAUGGGUAAAUGCCCUGAUUGAAAGACACAGACUGGAAAAUUGGAUAAAGAGUCAAGACCUAUGAGUGUGCUGUAUUCAGGAGACCCAACUCAUGUGCAAAGAUACAUAUAAGCUCAAAAUAAAAGGAUGGAGCAAUAUUUAUUAAGCAAAUGGAAAACAAACGAACAAAAAAAGCAGGGGUUGCAAUCCUAGUCUCUGAUAAAACAGACCUUAAACCAACAAAGAUCAAAAAAGACAAUGAAGGGCAUUACAUAUGGUAAAGGAAUCAAUACAAUGAGAAUAGCUAACUGUCAUAAACAUAUAUGCACCCAAUGCAGGAGCACCUAGAUUUAUAAAGCCAGUUGUCCUAUCCAUGAGAAUGAAACGUUUUCCUAUUUGUUUGUGUCCUUUUUUAAUUCCUUGAGCAGUAUUUGCAGUUCUCCUUGAAGAGGUUCUUCACAUCCCUUUAAGUUGUAUUCCUAGGUAUAUUACUCUCUUUGUAGCAACUGUGAUCGGGAAUUUACUCAUGAUUUGGCUCUCUGUUAUUGGUGUAUAGGAAUGCUUGUGAUUUUUGCACAUUGAUUUUUGUAUCCUGAGACUGCUGAAGUUGCAAACUGCCCAAAGUAAUUUAUAGAUUCAUUGUUAUCCCCAUCAAGCCACCAUCGACUUUCUUUACAGAAAAUUAGAAAAAACUACUUUAAAUUAUAUAUGGAACCAAAAAAGAGCCCAUGGAGCUAAGACAAUCCUAAGCAAAAAGAACAAAGCUGGAGCCAUCACACUACCUGACUUCAAACUAUACUACAAGGGUACAGUAACCAAAACAGCAUGGUGCUGAUACCAAAACAGAUAUAUAGACCAAUGGAACAGAACACAGGCCUCAGAAAUAAUGCCACACAUCUGCAGAGAUUUCUUUUUUCUUUUAAUUUUUUUGAGAUGGAGUCUUGCUCUGCUGCCCAGGCUGGAGUGUAAUGCCAUGGUCUCAAUUCACUGCAACCUCCACCUCCUGGGUUCAAGUGAUUCUUCUGCUUCAGCCUCCCAAAUAGUUGGGAUUACAGGUGCCUUCCACCACACCCAGAUAAUUUUGUAUUUUUAGUAGAGACAGGGUUUCACUGUGUUCGCCAGGCUGGUCUUGAACUCAUAACCUUGUGAUCCACCCGCCUUGGUCUCUCACAGUGCUGGGAUUACAGGCAUGAGCCUGUAAUGCCACACAUCUACAACUAUCUGAUCUUUUACAAACCUGACAAAAACAAGCAAUGGGGAAAGGAUUCUCUAUUUAAUAAAUGGUGUUGGGAAAACUGGCUAGCCACAUGCAGAAAAUUAAAGCUGAAUCCCUUCCUUAAACCUUAUACAAAAAUUAACUAAAGAUGGAUUAAAAACUUAAAUGUAAGACCUAAAAAAAGUGGGCAAAAGACAUUUAUGUGCUCAAAAAACAUAUGAAAAAAAGCUCCUCAUCACUGGUCAUUAGAGAAAUGCAAAUCGAAACCAAAAUGAGAUACCAUCUCAUACCAGUUAGGUGAUCAUUAAAAAGUCAGGGAAACAACAGAUGCUGGAGAGACUGUGGAGAAAUAGGAAUGCUUUUACACUCUUGUGUGUGUAAAUUAGUUCAACCAUUGUGGAAGACAGUGUGGCCAUUUCUCAAGGAUCUAGAACUAGAAAUACCAUCUGACCCAGCAAUUUAUAUAUUUAUAUACCAAAAGAUUAUAAAUCCUUUUAUAAAAACACAUGCACACGUAUGUUUAUUUUGGCACUGUUCACAAUAGCAAAGACUUGGAACCAACCCAAAUGCCCAUCAGUGAUAGACUGGAUAAAGAACACGUGGAACAUAUACACCAUGGAAUACUAUGCAGUCAUAAAAAAGGAUGAGUUCAUGUCCUUUGCAGGGACAUGGAUGAAGCUGGAAACCAUCAUUCUCGGCAAACUGACACAAGAACAGAAAAUCAAACACCAUGUGUUCUCAUUCACAAGUGAGAGUUGAACAAUGAGAACACAUGAACACAGGGACACAUCACACUCCAGGACCUGUCGGGGGCUGGAGCAUAGGGGAGGGAUAGCAUUAGGAAAAAUACCUAAUGUAGAUGAUGGGUGGAUGGGUGCAGCAAACCACUAUGGCACAUUUAUAUCUACGUAACAAACCUGCACGUUCUGCACAUG